CAGGCGCAGAGCGGGCGGGUAGCUGGGUCCGCGUGUGUCCGGCAUGUCGGCGCUGCGCUGGGGCCGCGGCGCGGCUGGGCUCGGAUGGGCCUUGUGGCCGGCGGGCCGCCCCGGCCUCCUGGCCGAGGAAGGCACCCUGGGUGGCCUAUGGGGCUGCAGAAGGAGCUCGUCUGCCAGCCCUUGUGAACAAGACCGCCGGAGGGACUGGGGCCACGCGGAGCUGCUGGAGGUGCUUGAGGCCAGAGUGCGGCAGCUGCAGGCCGACAAUGUUUCAGAGGUGAGGGCGAAGCUGUUGGAUGUGGCUCGACUCCCAGAGGCCGAUGGCUCCCUGUCACCCAGGAAGGUGGAGGCAGGAAACGAGGGUGCUGCCCUGGGGCUCACCAGCCACUGGGCACAGAAGUUGCACAAGGAGAAGCUCGUGAUGCAGAAGCGCAAGCAAAAGCUGGAGGAAAACCUGCAGAAGCAGGCCCGCAAGCGUCAGCUGCGUGUGGAGCCCCAACUGCUGAAUCGGCAGCUGGCAGGCUGGCUGCAGCGUUGGGAACGCAGCACCCCCAGGAGUCCCUGGGAGGAGCAGCUGGCCCAGCUGCUGCAGGAGGCCCCUAAGAGGCUGAGCCGCCAGGAGGAGCAUGAUCAGGCGAAUAGGCUCUCCAAGAUGCGGUAUGAGGCCCAGCAGCAGAGGCUUCUGGCCUUCUUGGAGUGCUGCGUGCUUGCGGACCAGCUGCCCCUCGCCCACCAUGUGCUGGUCAUGCAUCACAGCAAGUCCCGGCAGCAGCGGGCACUCACCCUGCCCAUGUACAACACCCUUCUGCUUGGCUGGGCUCGCAAGGGCUCUUUCAAAGAGCUGGUUUACGUGUUCUUCAUGAUGAAAGAUGCCGGCCUCGCCCCAGACCUGCUGUCCUAUGCGGCCGCCCUGCAGUGCAUGGGGCGGCUGGACCAGGAUGCCAGCACCAUCCAAAGGUGUUUGAAGCAGAUGGCCCAGGAUGGACUGCAGCUGCAGGAGCUCUUCACGAGCUUGCCACUGUGCAAGGAGGACAAGGCCGUACUCCUGAGGGCUGUGCGCAAGGCUGAGCCCACCUUCUUACCUCCGCAGCCGCCCCUGCCCUCGUUCGAGGUCAACACCUCCCCACUGCUCAAGGAGAUCUACAGCACGGACCACCCUGCGUCCUACCCAAAGCAGCACCUACCCUUGGAGACGCUGAAGGACCUGUUUCAGCAGCAGCUCAGUGUGGAGAUGGCCACCAUUGUCACUGUGGACUCCGUGGAGAAGGCCCCGUCGCUGACCGAGGAGGUCCUGCAAGCGCGAAAGACCCUGCAGGAGCUACGCACCCGUUGGGAGGCAGAGCUGUGCCUGGCGCUGCAACAGACAAAGGCCAGAGAGGCCCAAGCUGCCCGCGAGGGCCGCCCCUCACUCUUCCCGUACCUGUGCCUGCUCAGCGAGGGGGAGCUGACGCAGCUGAUGCUGCAGACCUUGCAGGUGCUGUCCCAGCAGGGAGAGUCACUUCUCUCCCUGGCACAAGAGCUGGGCAUGCGCAUCUUCAACCGACACGUGGUGCAGAGGAAGCAGCUCAAUGAUGAGGUGCAGGCACUGCAGGAGCGCUAUUUCAAGUACCUACACCUGCUGGCAUCGGACACACAGGUGGUGAUGUCCCGUUUGCCACGGCAGCAUUGGGAGGCACUGGGGACAACUGAGGCCUCCCAAGACCAGCCCUGGCCCUUGACUGUGGUGGUGCAGCUGGGCAAACAGCUGGCUGAGGUGCUUGUGCAGACAGUGAAGAUGCCCAGCAACCUGGCCCAGCAGCAGGACACCCAGAAGCUCAUCCCCGUCCUCUACCAUGUGUACUCCUUCCAGAGCUUUCGCCAGAUUGGGAUCCUGAAGCCACAUCCAGCCUUCAUACAGCUGCAGGAAACUGCGGCCGAGCGCACAAUGACCUUUGAGUCAGCCGAAGUGCCCAUGCUGUGCCCGCCACUGCCCUGGACUUCGCCACACUCAGGCGCCUUCCUGCUGAGCCCCACCAAGCUGAUGCGCUCUUUGGAGGGCACCAUACAGCACCAGCGCCUGCUGGAGGGCUGCCCACCCACUGAGCUUCAUGGUGCCCUGGAUGCCCUCACCCAGCUGGGCAACUGUGCCUGGCGUGUCAAUGGGCGAGUGCUGGACCUGGUGCUAACCAUCUUCAAUGCCAAGGGCUGCCCCCGCCUGGGCGUGCCAUCCCCUGCCUCUGAGGCACCCCGCCCAUCCAAGCACCGCCUGCCAGCCAAUGCCUCUCCGGAGCGCAAGACCGAACUGCGGCGGGAGCUGGCACGCUGCCUGAAGGUGGCACGGGAGAUGCAUAGUCUGCGGACCGAUGCGCUCUACCGCCUCUCGUUGGCCCAGCACCUGCGGCACCGUGUCUUCUGGCUGCCUCACAACAUGGACUUCCGAGGACGCACCUACCCCUGCCCACCCCACUUCAACCACCUGGGCAGUGACCUGGCACGCGCCCUGCUGGAGUUUGCCCAGGGCCGACCUCUUGGCCCCCAUGGCCUUAACUGGCUCAAGAUUCACUUGGUCAACCUCACCGGGCUCAAGAAGCGUGAGUCACUGCAGGCACGCCUGGCCUUUGCUGAUGAGAUAAUGGACGACAUCCUGGACUCAGCCGACCAGCCCAUGACGGGCCGGAAGUGGUGGAUGGAGGCAGAUGAGCCCUGGCAAGCCCUGGCCUGCUGCAUGGAGAUUGCUCGGGCUGUGCGUGCCCCCAACCCUGCCGCUUACAUCUCCCAUUUCCCCGUUCACCAGGAUGGCUCCUGUAACGGCCUGCAACACUAUGCUGCCCUGGGCCGGGACAGCGUGGGGGCUGCCUCUGUCAACCUGGUGCCCUCAGACGUGCCACAGGAUGUGUACAGCAGCGUAGCAGCACAGGUGGAGGUGUUCCGCAGGCAGGACGCUGAGCGGGGUGUGCAGGUGGCCAAGGUUUUGGAGGGUUUCAUCAGCCGCAAGGUGGUCAAGCAGACGGUGAUGACCGUGGUGUAUGGAGUCACCCGCUACGGGGGCCGCCUGCAGAUCGAGAAGCGCCUCCGGGAGCUCAGCGACUUCCCCCAGGAGUUCGUGUGGCAGGCCUCUCACUACCUUGUGCGCCAGGUGUUCAACAGUCUUCAGGAAAUGUUCUCAAGCACUCGGGCCAUCCAGCGCUGGCUGACGGAGAGUGCCCGGCUCAUUGCUCGAUCCGGCUUGGCUGUGGAGUGGGUCACCCCCCUGGGCAUCCCCAUCAUUCAGCCCUAUCACCACGACUCCAAGGUGUCGAUCAGUGGAGGGAUCCAGAGUCUCACCUUCUGCAGCAGUGGGGACACCAACCAGAAGCCCAACACACUGAAGCAGAAGAAUGGUUUCCCACCCAACUUCAUCCACUCCCUGGACUCCUCACACAUGAUGCUUACAGCCCUGCACUGUUACAGGGUUGGCUGGGCUGAGCUUAGGGGUCAAGGGCAAAUUCUGUGCUCCCAUCCUUCCCCUGUGCAUGAUGAAGCCCUGUGGUGGGUGGUGGGGUUGGGGGACAGCACUCUCUGGUCCCUGCAGGGAGCUGAGAAUCAACCAGGCCGCAAUUGGGGGCAGGUUGAAGAGGAUGGGGAGCAGAGUUCCAUUCUAAGAUGAGAACUUUUUAUCUGUAUGCUGAGGGGACAGUUGCAGGAAUGGGGGGGCGGCGCGCAUGAGGAGAGAAGAGGGUGGUGGUACAUCACUGGACUGAGCCCCCUAGACCAGUGUUCAGGAGCUGGGCCCUGAGUGGACAUAGAGGGCUGGCCCCUCCUCAUGGAAGCCCCUCCUCUGCUGCAGGAAGGGCCUGACCUUUGUCUCCGUGCACGACUGUUUCUGGACCCAUGCAGCUGAUGUCGCCAUCAUGAAUCAGGUGUGCCGUGAGCAGUUUGUUCGCCUGCACAGCCAGCCCAUCCUGCACGACCUGUCCAGGUUUCUGGUGGAGCGGUACUGCUCUGGCCCCAGGU